ensembl:lncRNA
CCCAGAAAUACUUGCUCUCACCAUCAGCAACACCUGAAUCCCUUAUAAGAAUCUUUUAGCAGCUUGUUGGCUUAUAAGAGAAAUGUACAGAUCUUUCUUAAGACAUCCAGCUGACAAGUGGGACUCACAGCUGAACUUACUCCCAGUGAGCUUCCAUGACACAUCCAUGGACUUCUUCCCAGAAAGUUCUGCAGGCAGCACAGGCAACUUCUCAGCAAGUUCAGCAACACCCUCCCUGGGUGACUGCCAACAAGAGGAAAAGAUGGGCUCUCUUGAAACGUACACAGAAUUCUUACUAAAAUAGACUAUAUCCUGAGCCUUAAAUAAACUCUCAGUAUAUUGGAAACAAAUGAAAUCAUGCAAACUAUUUUCUCUGACCAAAGUGGAAUUGAAUCACAAAUUAACAAAGGAGAGCUAUCUGCAAAAUUG